rnacentral:rRNA from 1 species
GGCCUAACACAUGCAAGUCGAACGGUAACAGGAAGAAGCUUGCUGCUUCGCUGACGAGUGGCGGACGGGUGAGUAAUGUCUGGGAAACUGCCUGAUGGAGGGGGAUAACUACUGGAAACGGUAGCUAAUACCGCAUAACGUCGCAAGACCAAAGAGGGGGACCUUCGGGCCUCUUGCCAUCGGAUGUGCCCAGAUGGGAUUAGCUAGUAGGUGGGGUAACGGCUCACCUAGGCGACGAUCCCUAGCUGGUCUGAGAGGAUGACCAGCCACACUGGAACUGAGACACGGUCCAGACUCCUACGGGAGGCAGCAGUGGGGAAUAUUGCACAAUGGGCGCAAGCCUGAUGCAGCCAUGCCGCGUGUAUGAAGAAGGCCUUCGGGUUGUAAAGUACUUUCAGCGGGGAGGAAGGCGAUAAGGUUAAUAACCUUGUCGAUUGACGUUACCCGCAGAAGAAGCACCGGCUAACUCCGUGCCAGCAGCCGCGGUA